UCCCUACGGGGGGCAGCAGUGAGGAAUAUUGGUCAGUGGGCGGAAGCCUGAACCAGCCAAGUCGCGUGAGGGAAUAAGGCCCUACGGGUCGUAAACCUCUUUUGCCGGGGAGCAAGGGCGGGGACGUGUCCCGGCCCGGAGAGUACCCGGAGAAAAAGCAUCGGCUAACUCCGUGCCAGCAGCCGCGGUAAUACGGAGGUGGCAAGCGUUGUCCGGAUUUACUGGGUGUAAAGGGCGUGUAGCCGGGCCGGCAAGUCAGAUGUGAAAUCCCAAGGCUCAACCUUGGAACUGCAUUUGAAACUGUU
rnacentral:rRNA from 1 species